rnacentral:rRNA from 1 species
AGUGAACGCUGGCGGCGUGCCUAAUACAUGCAAGUCGAACGGAAUUUAAAAGAGCUUGCUCUUUUAAAUUUAGUGGCGCACGGGUGAGUAAUAUAUAGCUAAUCUGCCCCUUGCUGGAGGACAACAGUUAGAAAUGACUGCUAAUACUCCAUACUCCUUUUUACCAUAAGAUAAAUCGGGAAAGAAUUUCGGCAAGGGAUGAGACUAUAUCGUAUCAGCUAGUCGGUGGGGUAACGGCCUACCGAGGCUAUGACGCGUAACUGGUCUGAGAGGAUGAUCAGUCACAUUGGAACUGAGACACGGUCCAAACUCCUACGGGAGGCAGCAGUAGGGAAUAUUGCGCAAUGGGGGAAACCCUGACGCAGCAACGCCGCGUGGAGGAUGACACUUUUCGGAGCGUAAACUCCUUUUGUUAGGGAAGAAAU